GCGGUUCGCCGCCCCCGACGUCGCGAGAAGUCCAUUGAACCUUAUCAUUUAGAGGAAGGAGAAGUCGUAACAAGGUUUCCGUAGGUGAACCUGCGGAAGGAUCAUUG
rnacentral:ncRNA from 1 species